rnacentral:rRNA from 2 species
AGCAACAAAUGCCCUGCUUCCAGGAAAAGCCUCUAAGCAUCAGGUAACAUCAAAUCGUACCCCAAACCGACACAGGUGGUCAGGUAGAGAAUACCAAGGCGCUUGAGAGAACUCGGGUGAAGGAACUAGGCAAAAUGGUGCCGUAACUUCGGGAGAAGGCACGCUGACACGUAGGUGAAGUGAUUUACUCACGGAGCUGAAGUCAGUCGAAGAUACCAGCUGGCUGCAACUGUUUAUUAAAAACACAGCACUGUGCAAACACGAAAGUGGACGUAUACGGUGUGACGCCUGCCCGGUGCCGGAAGGUUAAUUGAUGGGGUCAGCGCAAGCGAAGCUCCUGAUCGAAGCCCCGGUAAACGGCGGCCGUAACUAUAACGGUCCUAAGGUAGCGAAAUUCCUUGUCGGGUAAGUUCCGACCUGCACGAAUGGCGUAAUGAUGGCCAGGCUGUCUCCACCCGAGACUCAGUGAAAUUGAACUCGCUGUGAAGAUGCAGUGUACCCGCGGCAAGACGGAAAGACCCCGUGAACCUUUACUAUAGCUUGACACUGAACAUUGAGCCUUGAUGUGUAGGAUAGGUGGGAGGCUUUGAAGCGUGGACGCCAGUCUGCGUGGAGCCGACCUUGAAAUACCACCCUUUAAUGUUUGAUGUUCUAACGUGGACCCGUGAUCCGGGUUGCGGACAGUGUCUGGUGGGUAGUUUGACUGGGGCGGUCUCCUCCUAAAGAGUAACGGAGGAGCACGAAGGUUGGCUAAUCCUGGUCGGACAUCAGGAGGUUAGUGCAAUGGCAUAAGCCAGCUUGACUGCGAGCGUGACGGCGCGAGCAGGUGCGAAAGCAGGUCAUAGUGAUCCGGUGGUUCUGAAUGGAAGGGCCAUCGCUCAACGGAUAAAAGGUACUCCGGGGAUAACAGGCUGAUACCGCCCAAGAGUUCAUAUCGACGGCGGUGUUUGGCACCUCGAUGUCGGCUCAUCACAUCCUGGGGCUGAAGUAGGUCCCAAGGGUAUGGCUGUUCGCCAUUUAAAGUGGUACGCGAGCUGGGUUUAGAACGUCGUGAGACAGUUCGGUCCCUAUCUGCCGUGGGCGCUGGAGAACUGAGGGGGGCUGCUCCUAGUACGAGAGGACCGGAGUGGACGCAUCACUGGUGUUCGGGUUGUCAUGCCAAUGGCACUGCCCGGUAGCUAAAUGCGGAAGAGAUAAGUGCUGAAAGCAUCUAAGCACGAAACUUGCCCCGAGAUGAGUUCUCCCUGAGACUUAAAGUCUCCUGAAGGAACGUUGAAGACGACGACGUUGAUAGGCCGGGUGUGUAAGCGCAGCGAUGCGUUGAGCUAACCGGUACUAAUGAACCGUGAGGCUUAACCUUAC